AUGAGUUGAGCGAGACCAUCCUAUCCAUAUGCUGCAGAGACAAAUACAGCUUGGUGUCCGACUUCUCCUGGUACUUGAAUAUUUUAGUGGAGCUGGCGAGGGUGCCUGGUUCGGUUCAUGGCAAAAC
rnacentral:ribozyme from 1 species